AGUGGGAUAACUGGUUCAAAUGGUGGUUCCAUUCCAAGUUUUCUAAGAAAUCUCCAUACUGCUUUCCAGAGUGGUUGCACCAGUUUGCAGUCCCACCAGCAAU
rnacentral:pre_miRNA from 1 species